rnacentral:rRNA from 1 species
AGUGAACGCUGGCGGUAGGCCUAACACAUGCAAGUCGAACGGCAGCACAGUAAGAGCUUGCUCUUACGGGUGGCGAGUGGCGGACGGGUGAGGAAUACAUCGGAAUCUACUUUUUCGUGGGGGAUAACGUAGGGAAACUUACGCUAAUACCGCAUACGACCUACGGGUGAAAGCAGGGGAUCUUCGGACCUUGCGCGAUUGAAUGAGCCGAUGUCGGAUUAGCUAGUUGGCGGGGUAAAGGCCCACCAAGGCGACGAUCCGUAGCUGGUCUGAGAGGAUGAUCAGCCACACUGGAACUGGGACACGGUCCAGACUCCGACGGGAGGCAGCAGUGGGGAAUAUUGGACAAUGGGCGGAAGCCUGAUCCAGCCAUACCGCGUGGGUGAAGAAGGCCUUCGGGUUGUAAAGCCCUUUUGUUGGGAAAGAAAAGCAGCAGGUUAAUACCCCGCUGUUCUGACGGUACCCAAAGAAUAAGCACCGGCUAACUUCGU